GAAUAAGCACCGGCUAACUCCGUGCCAGCAGCCGCGGUAAUACGGAGGGUGCAAGCGUUAUCCGGAUUCACUGGGUUUAAAGGGUGCGUAGGUGGCUUUGUAAGUCAGUGGUGAAAGCCCGGAGCUCAACUCCGGAACUGCCAUUGAUACUGCUUAGCUUGAAUCACGUCGAGGUGGAUGGAAUAAUACAUGUAGCGGUGAA
rnacentral:rRNA from 1 species